ensembl:piRNA 21ur-8448 ncRNA
UUAGAGUUAGUUAGAAAGCAA